GGUCGUCACUAGGGCUCGCGCGUCUUCCUCCUGCCUCCCGCUCCUCCUCACCUUUCUCCUGCCGCAGGCCCGCAGAGUCGCCUUCCUCCUGCCUCCCUUCGUCGUCUCUCUCGCCCUCUCACUCUCCUCCUUCCUUCGUCGUCUAGCUCCUCCUCUCACUCUCCUGUUCCCCUCGUCGUCUCCCUCGCCCUCUCACUCUCCUGCUCCCCUCGUCGUCUCCCUCGCCCUCUCACUCUCCUGCUCCCCUCGUCGUCUCUCUCACCCUCUCACUCGCCUUCUCCCAUCGUCGUCUCUCUCACCCUCUCACUCGCCUUCUCCCAUCGUCGUGUCCCUCUCACUCUCCUGCUCCCCUCCUCGUCUCUCUCGCCCUUGCUGAAGAACAAGUCUUCCGUCUCUUCCUCUCUCGUUUGUGCAGCGGCUUCCGUGUGGGGAAACAGGGAUUCCGUCUACUGUGAGCAGAUCUGCAGCGCUUUCGUCGAACGGAAUGCAGAUUGGGACGCUCUUGAUGAUUUUGCUUGCAUAAUGAAGGGAAAGAAUUGAGUGGGCAAAUAUGUCAGAUUUGUGGUGAUGGGAUUGAGAAAACAGUGGAUGGAGAGCCUUUUGUGGCCUGUAAUGAAUGUGCCUUCCCCGUCUGUAGGACUUGCUAUGAGUAUGAAAGGAGAGAGGGCACUCAGGCGUGCCUGCAGUGCAGGACUAGAUACAAACGUCAUAAGGGUAAGUUUCCAUUAGUUCGCCUUUUCUUCAGCUUAUAUGUCCAGCUGAUAUGUUGCCUUCUUGAAAUAAGUUCCACUGAUUUAUAUGUUAUUCUGAUCCUCGAAGAAAAUGCGCAAGUCCAGUAAGCAAAGUUAAUGACAAAAUUCAGUUCCCUUUGCUGCUGGAAAUGCAGAGGUGUAGCCGUGUAGGAUGAUACAAGGCCCUGUGUGUUUCAGUUUGCCUGAGAAAAGUAAGAAUAGUGGCCAAUUGCGGAAGAUUGUUUAGAAAGUUUACUUGCAUAACCAGAAGAAAUAGCCUUCUGUCCUUGUAACAAUUCUGGAUUAUUUAAAAACAAUGUUGUUUUCUCCCUUGUUUGCUGAAUAAUUAUUGAGAUUUGAUGAA